CAUAACUAGCAUGCUUCAUUUUCAAGUCAGGUCACAAAGGGUGUAGGGAGAGGUAAGUAGGGUGCACAGUGGAAUGGCAACAAGAGGCAUUUCCAGUCCCACAUGGUUUGUUCAGCGGUAUAUGUCACAACCAGGGUUGUCAGAUUUAGUAAAUGAAAGUACAGCAUGGGACAUACUUAAUGUGAAAAAUUAUUUGCUGUUCAUUUAAAAUUCAAAUCUAAAUGGGCAUCCUGUGUUUUAUCUGACAACCCUUAUCACAAACCAAAUAAAAAAAUUUAGCUAAAACAUGGAACAUUAUGAGUAUGGAUGAGCAUUUCCCCAAGUGUGUAUUACUGGAUAUUAGUAGAUUUGUAUGCAUUAUAUUAAAAAAAAAAGUUCUGUGAUUAGCUAUGUGAUUUAAACAAGGCUAAUGAUUCUUACUGUUGGACCAUUCAGAUCCUUGAAUAGUCUCAUUGUGAAUUUCCUAGAAAAGUAUAGUGUCCUGAAUGCUUUCUCAAUCUGCUCUUCCUUUGCAAAAUGCUAAUCCUUGAGUGACUGAUUUCUGGUGGCAGCAAGGGUAGGACUGCUUUCCACUGGGUAGAACUGUGCUGUUUCCUCUGCUGCGAGAAAUGCAGUUAGGACUAUCCUCUGCCCCACCCGUGUCUUCCUGCUGAGAAUGGCCAGUUUCUCCUGAGGAAUGGAAGCAAGGACACUUCGGUCAGGUCCCAGUGGACCUGCAGAGUCAUCAUCUUUUUCUGCUUAGUCCCUGUUCAGACUGCUUUGGAAGAGGUCAUCCUACACUGGUGUCUGGCCUGGAGGAGAAAAAUUCAUCUUCUUUCCCUUAGGUGGAAAAGAAUCACCACAUAGGCUAUGAAACUUAUGUCUUCUUAAGCCGAUGCAGAGUGAAGAUGAUUCAUUUCAGGAAUCAUUUUGCACACCCAGAAUUCUUUACACAGCCUUCUUGACCAUGAUCAGCUUGAACUUGGAUGCUGUAUUCAAAAUGGGAAUUCUUUUUGAAGUUGGCCUUCCUGCAGAAAAACUCCAAGUAAACAGGAACAUCGGACCCAUCUAAAAAUUCACACCAAAGAAUAAGGAACCAUGCUGAGAGGAGGGUCACUGGGGAGAAGAUUCACACACUAUCAUUUUCCCCAGGGAGCAUGAUUUGGAAUUUACCUUUGGAUUUCUGGUUCCAUUUCUACAGUGGAUCAGAUGCUAUCAUGCAUGUGUGGAAAUGUGUGGAAAUUGAACACUUCAAUAAUUUGUAACAUGAUCUUGGGCCGUU